rnacentral:lncRNA from 1 species
GAAAUUCUGUAGUUAAAAUUUAACUUAAAAAGUUAAGGUUAAAAAUAGUGAAGAUUUAAAAGUGAUCUCUCACAUAUAUGCCAGUAAGUAAGUUUCACAGAUGAUUCUGCAUUCUAUCAAGCUUAUAUUUAAAAUGAUUAUCAUACUCACAGAGUGACUAGAUUAUCAAGAAGGACCCCUUCUCACUCUAUAUACAUUAGGCAGGAUGCUAACCAGUAAUCUAGGCUGCUUGUGUUUAAUGGGUUUGUACUUGCCAUAUUAUUUUAAAAAUUUUCAUACUUUACGUACUUUCAGGUGUGAAAGAAGGGUAGAAGUGACGGGGAAUAUUGGAGGGCAACCUAUUCAUAAAAAGUGUAUGGUAGCAAAACAGGAUGCAUUUUAUAUUUUAUACAAACUCUUUUAUUGCUGCCUGAUAAGACUAGUGUGGGUAUGGGUGGGUGUGGGGAGGGAGGCAGGGAAAGAGAGAGGGGGUAGGAGGCAGUAUGUGCUUUAGUGACCUGAAUGGAACAUAACCUUUGAACUCUAGCUCAACAGGCUCUUGUAAGAGAUGUAAAAUUUUCAAAAUUAUUAAUCAGGUAUGUGAAUAAUAUGCCCAUUACCUCUGAGUUCAGAGAGGCCAGGACAGUAGGUUCUGAAGAAAUUAGCAUGAUUUAUGAGUAGUUCCAAGUCAUAUUCAUUUCAAUUUAUCAGCAUGACCUUGUUGUGACUCCUUUAAAAAUCUCUGGCAUUCACCUUGAGUCUCUGCUCUGCUUUGGUUUGAAAACUUGCAUCAUUGUUCUGAGUCCUCUUUUCUCUCUUCAGUUUAUGUCUGCUAGAGCAGAUCAGUCUCCAGUUUCAACUUUUCCAUCACUCACAGUCUGAAUUGAUCAGAAUGUUUAAGGUCAGUGGAACAGAAUAAUUUGUCCUUGGUUCCGUUUUGAAGGUUCUUCGGAGUCAGAGUAUAAAGACUAGAUUCCUUCUGUGAAAAUAGGAGUAUGCAAAGUUCUUUUAUAAUACAAAUAUUCUAUUUUUCUGGGUGAUGUUACAUGAGGCAUUUAACUAAUGUUCAAGGUUUUCAUCUUAAAAUGUGUUUCCUUGAAGACUGAUAUGUUUCCUGUAUAUAAAUUUGAAGGGUCACAUAGCAUAGAAUCUAUUUAAAUAGUUCUUAAAUGUUCUUUGAGCAUGGCAUUAUCAUUGAAUUUUGGUUAUCUUAUUUCAGUUCUGAUUUAAGCCCUUCCAAAGCAUCUUUCUCUCAGCAACAUAUGUUAUACUCUUGGACUAUAUGUGUAUCUAUGUAUAUCCUCAUUCGAUAAUUUCCUCAGUCCUUAAUAAUGAUGCAUUAGCAUUAUCUAUUUCCAAGGAUCACUUCCUUCCUUGUAUAAAGACAAAUAUGAUACAUGGUAUAAAAGCAUUCUCCACCUGCUAAGGUGACUGUGAAUAUCAAAUAUCGAAACUGCACUUUGUCUUUCUAAGAGUGGCAGUUCUAAAAUUAAGAUGGAUGUUUUCCAUGUGGAGGACAUGCAAUGAGCCUUCAAUACCCAUUUCUAUUUGCCCAUGGCUGGGGCGUCAUGGUACAAGUUGACCGCUUUCCCUUGAGCAUAUGUGAAUGGUGUUUACCAAUGGAAGCAUUUACUUCUCUGCCCAGCUGUCUUGGUCUACAUAACAGAGUCACAUCUAGCUGAGAAUAAAAGAAGGAAGAACUCAAUAAAUAUUGGCUAGAUAUUUGAUGGAUAAAAUUUAAUCAUAAUUCUUUGCGCCAUAGAUAACAUUCAAUGUGAUGGCACCAAAUUUUGAAGUGCCAUCCUAAAGUUAUUUCUCUGUAAAUUUUGAUUCCACUGAUUUAUUCAUUUGUUAAAAUUAUAAUCUAAUAUUUUUUAAAUUAGUUGGCCCUUCACAGAUGUACCUGUGGAUGCUCCUUCUUAGGGUAUGUGGCAGGAAUGUCCCCGUGCAUGUGAACACUUGUGUGUACAUGUACAGGUAUGGUGGUUAAUGGUGGACACUGGAUUUUUUUUCCAGAAACAUUUGUCCUAAUUAUUAGCUCCACUGACCAUGGAGCUGGUGGUAUCUCUGGCUGACUGACCUGCCAGUAAGUUGCAGAUCGACUUCUGCUUCUGUCUCUCCUCUCAGGUACUGUGAGAAUUAUGUGUCCUCAUGCCGAGCUUUUAUAUUAGGGCUAUGGAACUCAGAUCUUCACCUUGUGCAGUAGGUACUUUUCCCACUGAGCUGCCUUGCCAGCUCCUACUAAUGCUGGUUUUGAUGGGAAAACUUUGACAGUCAGUGCUCAGACAGACGCUGCAGUAUUUGGCUAUUUCAAAGGUAUAUAGAAAUCAAGCCCACUUUGUUUCUUUUAUCUGUGAUAAACACUAUUUCAUCCAUUUAGGAAGAAAAUAGCAGGCUCAUGAUUAUUAACAUAGAUUACAAACUAUGUAACGUUCUUGUUGAGACCAGUGAUGAUUAAAGAUAUCACCUUCAAAACACAGUGAUUUUUUUCUUAAAGAAACAAAUCUGUUUAAACCUCAAAAAAUAUGCCAUCCAUAGAAUUUUAUUUGUUUUUCUCUGUAAAACACUUACGUCUACACCAAGCACACUGAGAGCUGAUAUUAUUAGUGAAAUGGAAUACCAUUUAGCUAAUGUUAUAAAAAUGACUCUAC